CUUCAGGAUUUGGAAGAACUGCUUUAGGAUCAUCCAGUUUUAUUCUAAAAUCUGUGUCAUUGCCCUAUGUUCCCUUUAGCCAAUGCAAAUCUUCCAAAAAUUCUUUUGAAUCUGAGAAACUCAUAACAAUGGAUAAAUUUUGUUCUGGUUACACGAAUGGAACAGCUGUCUGCGAUGGUGACAGCGGAGGAGGAAUGGUAUUUCAAAGUGGAAAUUUAUGGUUUCUAAGAGGAAUCAUUAGUCUCUCUUUAGAUUAUAUACUAUCUGGUGGAUCCAAGAUACACUUUUCCAAUUAGAAACAUCUAAAUCACUUCCAAUUAUGGAAGUGACUCAAUUAUAGCAAAUGCGACUACUUCUAGUCCCGCUGAAUUCAUUCCAACUUCUACAAACACUAUCACAUCUUCCCAUUGAUUCGAAAUACAACUGUUUGUACGGUACCUCCCAAUCCUGCGAACGGUUAUCGUCUAUUGCACAAAUCUUAUUGCCAAACACAAGAAGACUGUGCUGCGGAGGAAGGUGUGGAAUAGUUAGCGGUUCUCAUCUGAUUUAUACAUGUAAUCAGGAAUACGAAUUAAGCGGUACCAGUGAGCGGUAUUAUGUAGUCCAGAAGGAAAAUGGAUGGAUGGAUUCCUGUUUCGAAAGUUUAAUUAUUUUAUAUAUACGUUCCUUAUUACUGGUUUCCUUAAUGAAACCUAAUUUGCUGAUUGUAAAUAUAACGACGACUGCACUUCUUAAUAUAAAA
rnacentral:lncRNA from 1 species